UCCAUAACCUUGGGCAUAACAACAUGAUGAGACUAUUGGUCCGAGCCAUACAUACGGAUGAAAAUGCCAGUCCCAAGCAGCUGCCGUCAAUCCUUCCUCUCAUCGCCGGUUUCUGCCAAGUCAGCCACCGCAGUUCGUUGCCGAGAGUCCCUCCAAGCUCGCCUGUUCCGCCGCCGCCAGUGUUAAGAACGGCGGCGGGGAUUCGCCUUUUCCAGCGAGGAAGCGGUGUUGAGGAUCGGCCGUGGAGAGUUCGGCCCACCAUCAGUUCCGUGCGAGCUUCUCCUUGCUCGCCGGCCAUCUUCAACCUCGCCGGUCCGUCACCGCCUUGCCAGCCGUUCAGACCCUCUGAGCGGCCGUCGGUCAGCCGAGCUCAGUCGAUCCUUAAUUUGAUUUGGGCGAUCGGGUUUAGCUCAUUCGGUUCUCGAUUAGGUCUUCGCAAACUGAUCGAAUCAAUUUCAAUAUUCAUAUAAAGAUACAAGUCAUCUCCUUCGAUUCUCAGCGGUUCGGUUUCUUCUCUACUCUCUUCACCAAGUUUGAUUCUUUAAUACUUCUCUAAAAAAUUAAUUUUAUGCUAAAUGUGUAUGUGCAUUUAUUUAUUUCUAUAUGUCGGCAUAUGAAUAAAUAUGUUUUUUUUUUAUGCAUAUGAAUUUAUAUUUGUUUGAUCUUCGUUGUUUUUUUGGUUUUUUUUCUUGGUAUUUUCUAUGUCUAUUAAGCCUAGCUGAGCUCUCGUUUCCACUAGUUGACAAUUUUUUGUCCUUUGUUCUCUGUUUAGUCAAUUUACAUGUAUGUGCUUCAUAUAUAUAGAUUAUGUUAUAACCUAUUACCAAAGAAUCAAUUUUAUAUUGAUAUACAUACAUGCUCACAGUGUAUGUAAAGGAAGCAGAGCACAAACCUAACCAUAUUAGCUACAUGAUGACAGGGACUAUGGCGAUGAGGAAGGAUGACGAUGAUACUUCAGGUACUAUGAUAGUUACGGCAGUGGUGACAUUACACGUCGAUCUCGAAGGGUAGUACUUCGCGUUCAUAUCCGACGCGUCGGCGAUCGUGGUGGAUUGGUUGCUGGGGACGUCAUCGGUGAAGACUUUCAUCUUGCAGUUCUCAAAUCUCUCUCUCAAUCACCAAUUUCUUGGUUCUGGCUCGGAAUCAUGGGUUUCAUCAUCAGUUCUGGCUCGUCAUCGGCAUCGUGGCUCAACGUCGUCUGGAGGAAGAGUAGGGGCGGCCUGAGGAAUCGACAGUGCUAUUCACGCACAACACUUUCCCCUCUUGCUCAGAUGGGUUCAUCGGGAUUGGUUACUGCCGGCGACUGGUCCAUCUUUUUGUUUUUCCAACUGGGCCGCCUCUUUCUCUCUCUCUCCCCUCUCUCACUCUAACAGUCGCCUACCAUACACAUAUACACACCCUACACAUAUAUGCAUACAGUUUUUGGGUUUGAGUUACUUUUUUGUGGGUUUGUUAAAGGGGGUUUAGAUGAGUUCAUCGGGAAACAUGGGGAUUGGCUUCCACAUCAAAGGCCCUCUACUGAUGCAAAUAGGUAGGGUGUGCAAGGUCCUUUUCAGUCUUUUUACAAAAAAAAUUAUUUUUAUAUAUUUUAUAAAAUUAUUCAAUAAGGGUAAUUUGGUCAAUUUAGAUUUUAAAUGUGUCAAGGGACCUAAUUGCACCAAAUUGAAACUUGAGGGAUGUGAUAUGCACUAUAAACAUACUACAAGGGUGUUUUCUGCACUUCACCCUAUUAAUAUACACACAGACACAUUGUUUGGUUGCAUCUCAAGCUUUGUAAUUUGAGGUGGCUAAUUGUAUUGAUAAGUAGUUAUUAAUAUGAAAACUUAUUUUUUUGUAGGUUCAAUUUUUGAGAAGGUGAAAGCUUACUGGAAUGAGUGAAAUCGAAAAAGGGUUAGCAUCAGUCCUUAACAUUUUGCAAGAAUAAGGUUCAAGAAACAUGCCUCCUUAAUCAUCAGGUAACAAACUCUUACUUUUUCUAAAAUUUAAAUUGGCAUUUUUAGUUAUUGGUUACGUUUAUUUAUUCAUGUUUUACUUAUUGAUUUUUUGUUUUUAUUUUUGUUUCUACAUACAUAUAUAUAAUAUUGUUAUAAUGUGAUACUCGAACAAUUUAUUAAUUAGAAUUAAAGAAUUGGAAGUUUAGUUUUCAAUUUCAGAAUAUAUGUUUUACAAGUUUAUUAACACUUUUUUAAAACUUUUUCUCUUUUAUCCUUAUUAGGUCUCUUUUCUGAAAGAAGAGAAUUGAUGGGAAUGGGUGGAGUAGGCAAAAAGAAUACCCUUUGUAGAGGGAAAAGAGAAGUGUUACUUGACCCCGUUUGGCAUAAAAAAAAUUGAUGAUCUGGAAGAACAUGCAGCGCAUGUAUGUAUUCUUACUUGAGGACUAUGGUAUGUUUUAAAUUCUUUUUUUGUUUUGUUUCAAGUCUGAAAUUUUUUUUCUUUUUAAUCUAGAAGUACUAUUUGUUUAUAUUAACAGCGGGUAAGAAUGACUAAUCAAAAAAAAAAAAAAAAACUGGGUAAGAAUGCAAAGUAUGU